ensembl:lncRNA
GUAUGAUGGAGGGUAUACAGUAAGUAUGAUGGAGGGUACAUAAGGUAUGAUGGAGGGUAUACAGUAGGUAAGAUGGAGGGUAUACAGUAGGUAUGAUGGAGGGUAUACAGUAGGUAUGAUGGAGGGUAUACAGUAGGUAUGAUGGAGGGUACACAUCAGGGAUGAUGGAGGGUAUACAGUAGGUAUAAUGGAGGGUAUACAUCAGGUAUGAUGGAGGGUAUACAGUAGGUAUGAUGGAGUGUAUACUGUAGGUAUGAUGGAGGGUACAUAAGGUAUGAUGGAGGGUAUACAGUAGGUAUGAUGGAGGGUAUACAGUAGGUAUGAUGGAGGG